rnacentral:rRNA from 1 species
GACGAACGCUGGCGGCGUGCUUAACACAUGCAAGUCGAACGGUGAAGCGCCUUCCUUUUGGUGGGUGUGGAUGAGUGGCGAACGGGUGAGUAACACGUGAGUAACCUGCCCCCUUCUUCUGGAUAACCGCAUGAAAGUGUGGCUAAUACGGGAUAUUCUGGGUCUGUCGCAUGAUGGGUCUGGGAAAGAUAUUGUUUCGGUGGGGGAUGGGCUCGCGGCCUAUCAGCUUGUUGGUGGGGUGAUGGCCUACCAAGGCGGUGACGGGUAGCCGGCCUGAGAGGGUGGACGGUCACACUGGGACUGAGACACGGCCCAGACUCCUACGGGAGGCAGCAGUGGGGAAUAUUGCACAAUGGGCGCAAGCCUGAUGCAGCGACGCCGCGUGAGGGAUGGAGGCCUUCGGGUUGUGAACCUCUUUCGCCAGUGAAGCAGGCCUGCCUCGUUUGUGGGUGGGUUGACGGUAGCUGGAGAAGAAGCGCCGGCUAACUACGUG